CUCAGAGAUAUUUUUAGCUUUUAUUGUUCUGGGACAUUAUUGUGGCGACAGAUGAACACAGAACACGUGUUUUGGUCAACAUCAUCCUUCUUUUAACCGAAAUAAUUCCAGAUAACUGACUUUCCUUUUCUUUUUGGCAACAAAUCUUCAUUUUCGGUGGUUUUCUCUUGUUCGUUGCUCAGUUUGCGAUCGUUGUUGUUGUUGUUGUUAGCGGUGUUGUGCCGAGAAACGCAUGUCCUCCGAGAAUUGCAUGCACCUCGCAAAACGCGCACCGCUUAUAGUAGAGUGGUCCACGGAAAUAUACAUUUUAAAACCCAUACAGUUCUUAUUUGUUGGGCUUAACAGUCAUGAGUAAUGUUCCGAAAGUAAUACUCAGAGGACACGCAUUUCUGGGCUCAACACCAGCAGCCAGCGAGUACCUCCAUGUGCAGAAAAUGUGCAGGGGUGGGUUUCCUCCUCUCUGAUUUUGAUUGACAGCUGGCAGGGUAGUCUGAUUGGCAACUGAGAACUGAGUCUGAUUGGCAACUGAGUAAAGGACAAAGGUGAUUGGUGGAUCGCUGCACAGCACAUGCAGAGUCACAUGCAGUGUAUCUCAGUCAGCUACCCUUGAAAUUAACUGAGUUCAUUCACCUCCGACAUCGCAG